GUGAGGCACAGUGGUGUGCACCUAUAGCCCCAGCUGCUCAGAAGGCUGAGGCAGGAGGAUUGCUUGAGCCCAGGAAUUCUGGGUUGUAGUGUGCUAUGCCGGUUAGGUGUCUGCAUUAAGUUCAGCAUCAGUAUGGGGAACUCCCGGGAGCAGGGGACCACCAGGUUGCCUAAGGAGGGUUGAACCAGCCCAGAUUGGGAAUAGAGCAGGUCAAAACUCCUGUGCUGAUCAGUAGUGGGAUCCUGCCUGUGAAUAGUCACUGCACUCCAGCCUGGGCAACACAGCAAGGCCCCAUCUCU
ensembl:misc_RNA Metazoa_SRP Metazoan signal recognition particle RNA